UGCGCAGGCGGCUGAGCAAGUCGAGUGUGAAAGCCCCGAGCUUAACUUGGGAAUUGCGCUCGAAACUACUUGGCUGGAGUGUGGCAGAGGAAGGUGGAAUUCCACGUGUAGCGGUGAAAUGCGUAGAGAUGUGGAGGAACACCAAUGGCGAAGGCAGCCUUCUGGGCCAACACUGACGCUCAUGCACGAAAGCGUGGGGAGCAAACAGGAUUAGAUACCCUGGUAGUCCACGCCCUAAACGAUGACGACUAGUUGUUGGAGGAGUUAAAUCCUUUAGUAACGCAGCUAACGCGCGAAGUCGUCCGCCUGGGGAGUACGGUCGCAAGAUUAAA
rnacentral:rRNA from 1 species